rnacentral:rRNA from 1 species
UUUGAUCAUGGCUCAGGACGAAACGCUGGCGGCGUGCUUAACACAUGCAAGUCGAACGGUGAGGCACCUUCCUUUUGGUGGGUGUGGAUGAGUGGCGAACGGGUGAGUAACACGUGAGUAACCUGCCCCCUUCUUCUGGAUAACCGCAUGAAAGUGUGGCUAAUACGGGAUAUUCUGUGCCUGCUGCAUGGUGGGUGUGGGAAAGAUGCGCCUUUGGGUGUUUUUGGUGGGGGAUGGGCUCGCGGCCUAUCAGCUUGUUGGUGGGGUGAUGGCCUACCAAGGCGGUGACGGGUAGCCGGCCUGAGAGGGUGGACGGUCACACUGGGACUGAGACACGGCCCAGACUCCUACGGGAGGCAGCAGUGGGGAAUAUUGCACAAUGGGCGCAAGCCUGAUGCAGCGACGCCGCGUGAGGGAUGGAGGCCUUCGGGUUGUAAACCUCUUUCGCCAGUGAAGCAGGCCUGUCCCUUGUGGUUGGGUUGACGGUAGCUGGAUAAGAAGCGCCGGCUAACUACGUGCCAGCAGCCGCGGUAAUACGUAGGGCGCGAGCGUUGUCCGGAAUUAUUGGGCGUAAAGAGCUCGUAGGCGGCUGGUCGCGUCUGUCGUGAAAUCCUCUGGCUUAACUGGGGGCUUGCGGUGGGUACGGGCCGGCUUGAGUGCGGUAGGGGAGACUGGAACUCCUGGUGUAGCGGUGGAAUGCGCAGAUAUCAGGAAGAACACCGGUGGCGAAGGCGGGUCUCUGGGCCGUUACUGACGCUGAGGAGCGAAAGCGUGGGGAGCGAACAGGAUUAGAUACCCUGGUAGUCCACGCCGUAAACGUUGGGCACUAGGUGUGGGGGGCCUUUUCCGGGUCUUCCGCGCCGUAGCUAACGCAUUAAGUGCCCCGCCUGGGGAGUACGGCCGCAAGGCUAAAACUCAAAGGAAUUGACGGGGGCCCGCACAAGCGGCGGAGCAUGCGGAUUAAUUCGAUGCAACGCGAAGAACCUUACCAAGGCUUGACAUGUGCCGGUCGGCUCCGGAGACGGGGUUUCCUCCUUGUGGGGCCGGUUCACAGGUGGUGCAUGGUUGUCGUCAGCUCGUGUCGUGAGAUGUUGGGUUAAGUCCCGCAACGAGCGCAACCCUUGUCCCGUGUUGCCAGCACGUUGUGGUGGGGACUCGCGGGAGACUGCCGGGGUCAACUCGGAGGAAGGUGGGGAUGACGUCAAAUCAUCAUGCCCCUUAUGUCUUGGGCUUCACGCAUGCUACAAUGGCCGGUACAGAGGGCUGCGAUACCGUGAGGUGGAGCGAAUCCCUUAAAGCCGGUCUCAGUUCGGAUCGGUGUCUGCAACUCGACACCGUGAAGUUGGAGUCGCUAGUAAUCGCAGAUCAGCAACGCUGCGGUGAAUACGUUCUCGGGCCUUGUACACACCGCCCGUC